CUGGCGCAUUGUCGUCGGCGGCAGCGGAGGGCCGGCGCGCACAGGCUGCCUGGCUGGCCCGCGAAACCCGGUCUAAAAAGGAACGGAGGAUACAAGAUGGCGCAUGUUGACUGCCACACGAGACCGCCAACCGCUAAUGACGGGCGUUAUAGCAACUGACUAAGCCGGUAACUGGUUGCUGUCCUGGUACACUUUGAAAUUCAUCGACACAGCACCGUAUCGACCUGCCAGAGGCCCAAAAGAAAAUGGCGCGGCCUCUUGAACUUUGACCAAGGCUUCCUUACAACAGUGGUACUGUACUGUGGCACGAAGAU